AUGGCCGUGGGCGCGGCGAGCAGGCGGUACAUCGGGCCCCUGCUGUGCAUCAACCUCGUCAUGCACGCGGCCGUCCUCGGCAUCGCCGGCUGGUCGCUCAACAAGUUCAUCGACCGCGAGACGCACCGCCAUCUAGGAGGCAACACGGCGACGGGGUACCUGCUCGUCUUCUCGCUCAUGGCCGGGGUGGUCGGCGCCUGCUCGGUGCUCCCCGCCCUGCUCCACGUCAGGGCGCCCUGGCGCAGCGAGAGCCUCGCCGCCGCCGCCUCCACCGUGCUCGUCUCCUGGGCGCUCACCGCCCUCGCCUUCGGCCUCGCGUGCAAGCACAUCACUCUAGGGAACCGAGGAAGGCGCCUGAGGACGUUGGAGGCGUUCAUCACGAUCUCGACGCUGACGCAGCUCUUCUACCUGCUUCUGCUCCACGCCGGCGCCUUGAGCGGGGUGCAUGGAGUUGGACAGGCCUGCGGGAGCCACGGCGAAGCCUGCUGCCGCGAGAUCCCUCGGGGAGAGCUCGCCGCGGACCAUAAGACGGCGGGAGGGGUUCCGUCCCCGGAUGCAUGA
rnacentral:rRNA from 1 species